GAUAAACGCUGGCGGCGUGCCUAAUACAUGCAAGUCGAGCGAACGGACGAGAAGCUUGCUUCUCUGAUGUUAGCGGCGGACGGGUGAGUAACACGUGGAUAACCUACCUAUAAGACUGGGAUAACUUCGGGAAACCAGAGCUAAUACCGGAUAAUAUUUUGAACCGCAUGGUUCAAAAGUGAAAGACGGUCUUGCUGUCACUUAUAGAUGGAUCCGCGCUGCAUUAGCUAGUUGGUAAGGUAACGGCUUACCAAGGCAACGAUGCAUAGCCGACCUGAGAGGGUGAUCGGCCACACUGGAACUGAGACACGGUCCAGACUCCUACGGGAGGCAGCAGUAGGGAAUCUUCCGCAAUGGGCGAAAGCCUGACGGAGCAACGCCGCGUGAGUGAUGAAGGUCUUCGGGUCGUAAAACUCUGUUAUUAGGGAAGAACAUAUGUGUAAGUAACUGUGCACAUCUUGACGGUACCUAAUCAGAAAGCCACGGCUAACUACGUGCCAGCAGCCGCGGUAAUACGUAGGUGGCAAGCGUUAUCCGGAAUUAUUGGGCGUAAAGCGCGCGUAGGCGGUUUUUUAAGUCUGAUGUGAAAGCCCACGGCUCAACCGUGGAGGGUCAUUGGAAACUGGAAAACUUGAGUGCAGAAGAGGAAAGUGGAAUUCCAUGUGUAGCGGUGAAAUGCGCAGAGAUAUGGAGGAACACCAGUGGCGAAGGCGACUUUCUGGUCUGUAACUGACGCUGAUGUGCGAAAGCGUGGGGAUCAAACAGGAUUAGAUACCCUGGUAGUCCACGCCGUAAACGAUGAGUGCUAAGUGUUAGGGGGUUUCCGCCCCUUAGUGCUGCAGCUAACGCAUUAAGCACUCCGCCUGGGGAGUACGACCGCAAGGUUGAAACUCAAAGGAAUUGACGGGGACCCGCACAAGCGGUGGAGCAUGUGGUUUAAUUCGAAGCAACGCGAAGAACCUUACCAAAUCUUGACAUCCUUUGACAACUCUAGAGAUAGAGCCUUCCCCUUCGGGGGACAAAGUGACAGGUGGUGCAUGGUGGUCGUCAGCUCGUGUCGUGAGAUGUUGGGUUAAGUCCCGCAACGAGCGCAACUCUUAAGCUUAGUUGCCAUCAUUAAGUUGGGCACUCUAAGUUGACUGCCGGUGACAAACCGGAGGAAGGUGGGGAUGACGUCAAAUCAUCAUGCCCCUUAUGAUUUGGGCUACACACGUGCUACAAUGGACAAUACAAAGGGCAGCGAAACCGCGAGGUCAAGCAAAUCCCAUAAAGUUGUUCUCAGUUCGGAUUGUAGUCUGCAACUCGACUACAUGAAGCUGGAAUCGCUAGUAAUCGUAGAUCAGCAUGCUACGGUGAAUACGUUCCCGGGUCU
rnacentral:rRNA from 1 species